UGUUGUUUAAACUCUGGAACAGACGCUCAGUGAGGGAGACAUCUUCCAGCACCCAGCACAGCGCCCAGCACAUGAGUGCUCAAUAAACAGAUGGGAAAGCCAAGGCCCAGAGAGCUCGGGGGGCUGGCAUAAGGACACACUGUGAAGUGGGACAGCAUUGGGAAGCUGCAAGCCAAGCGAGGGACCUGAAACCAGGUCUUUGGUUUGAUCUCAGUGGGGAUCUGGGUUCCGGAAGGCUCUGAGAGCUGCAGCUACAGGUCAGUUUCAAGCCAGCAUGCGGGGCAUCCUGAGGACACGACUGUGCAUCGUCCUGCACCUGCCCAGCCUGGAGCUCGGGUAUCUCCACCACAGCCUGGGCCACUGGGGCAGGGAGCGGGGUGGGGUGAGCCACCCUCUACAAAGGGCUUCUGGGAGGCUGAGCAGCAUCAGCUCUGCUGGGUCUCCAAGGAAAGACCUGAGGGCCCCAAGGACCCAUGGCGAUACUCACGGCUCACCAUCCCCACGCCUCCUGGGGUGAAUGCCCGAGGUCCUGACUUUCCCCAGCCCCAGUCCCAGCCCCAGCCCCACUGCUACAGCCCUCAGGCCCCAACCAGCCCAAGCUCCACCGCCCCUCUUCACAGACAGCAGUGCCACUCACUGGGCUUCCUGGCCCCAACCGCUCUCUUUCUCCAUGAUCUGCCCAGGCCACCCUGAAACACUUCUGGUUCCCAACUGCCUGCAGGAUAAAGUCUGAAGUCAUUUUUUUUUGGAGGAAGAUUAGCCCUGAGCUAAUGUCUGCUGCCAAUCCUCCUCUUUUCGCUGAGCAAGACUGGCCCUGAGGCCUGGGCCUCGGAGGACUCAGAAGGAACGGUGUGGCGUUGGUCAGAACAGUAUAUGGGACACAGAACUGGGCUUCAGACCCCUACAGAUGGAGUCUCAGGUCUGGUCUAACUCCCUGCCCCCACCCCCAGCUCCAGCCCAGCCCCAAGCCUGAUUUGAGGCCGGAGGGACCUAACCAGCUCAGUCCCUCUCUGGAGCUCAGAGGCAGAAGCCUCUUACAGCCCGUCCGACCUGGAAGGGUCCCCCACCUCUAAUAGUGUCCUUAUGUUUUAGCCUCUGUUCCCCUGUCCCUGUGUGGGCCUCUCAGAUUUCUGGCUUCCAUUCCCUGGUCACCUUCUGCCCUGUGGUCUGCCCUCACUGUUGUCUGUUGCUGCCCAGC
rnacentral:lncRNA from 1 species